UUGAUUAUUUAAUAAUUUAAUUAGAUUUAAGUUAUUUAUUAACGAAAUCUUUGUUUAGCCUAUGUAAAUUCCGCGUGCUUUAACGUGCGCGCGCUGAACAUCGGAGUAGCGGUCCUUCAGAUUCAAACACUGGAGGAGGGAGUUGCCAUGGAAACGGGGCGACCGACAACACUGGCAAGCUGCAAGCUCCGUUUCUUGCUGCUGUUUUCACUGCUUUCGAAAUGGUGUAGUGUUUUCGAACAAGUCCGUAAGCAUCUUAACCGUUAUCAGAGGAGAUUCUUCCAUGAUUGAUGUUCUUCUGCAUCCCAGAGUCUGAGCAAACCUCCUGUCCAACAACAUCUCCAAGACACACUGAACCAUACGGCUAGCAACGACAAACACAUCGUGGACCAAAGAGGAAACUGACACCACACAGACAGACAAGACAGAGAUAGUUACUUCUGCCUCGCGUGUGAAGACUUCAGAAGAUGCCAGACCUCACAAAGAUUUCAGAUGAUGGCAACUAUAGAUGAACUUGCAAAGCUGCUUAAUAAUCCUUAUAUUGUAAUCAUUGCCCUAAAAGGACGGAUCUUAUCAGCAAAUCUACUUCACAGCACAUCAGUGAAAACAGUUGACAGUUACAGACGGGUGUGUUGGAUCAGGUUCAGAUCUGAAUUCUGAUGGUUUUCUGGGAUGACAGUUGAAGAUGAUCAGCACAUCAGAUGUUGGUCUGGACAGCUGUACCUACAGUACACCACAGUGACCUCGGUGCUUUUGCAUGGAUAGCUGACUACUACCAUGUUCUGUGAAGGUAUUAUUAUAGCAAACCUGAGCACCUGUGACAGUGGAAUAGUUGUAAUGAAUAGUCACACAUGCAUAUUGGUAAAUUUAAAGUCACAGAUAAUUUUUUUAGUACUAGCAAUAUUUUUAUUUUUAUUUUAAAUUUUUUACUAAUUCUCUCCAGCAAACACAACACAACAGUUACACCAUUUCAAAUUCUGAGGUGCACAAAUCCUAUUCUACAAAUAAGAGAACAACAGUAUAAAAGUGCUCAGUUUAGCCCCUUUCACACUGAGAUUCCAGAUGAUACACGGGUAAUUGUUCCCGGAUCGUUAGAUUUUGGUUCAUUCACACUGCCAGUGAGUGCGUUCACACACAACCCGUAAAGGUCCCAUAAUGAUACAAGACAUCAGGAUGUGAUGUGUAAUGUACGAGUUGAAAACGCUAGGCCGCCAAAAAACGGAAGAAGGAGAAGAAGCAAACCAGAAGUGUUUUCAAUACUUUAUAAACAUGGCAGCUGAUCAGCUACUGGGGCCAUUGUUGUUUAUGUAUAAAGCAUCUUCCACACAGAAAUUCCGGAAAAUACACCAAUAAUGUGUUCCAGGAUCGUUUGAUUGUGGUUCAUUCACACUGCCAGUAAUUUUCUGGAAUCUGUGUGUGCGUUCACACACAACCCAUAAAGAUCCCGUAAAGACACGCGACAUUACGAUGUGACGUGUUUUGUUUCACUUAAACUGGUGAACGAUCUCAGCUUCAGCACGGAUAGUGAGGAACUAACUGAUCUCUGCUUCAUUACAAUUUGCACAUUUUUUCGUCACGAAUGUUGAUCUGCCUUCAAAACACCUGCUAAAAGAGUCGCA